rnacentral:rRNA from 1 species
GAGUUUGAUCAUGGCUCAGGAUGAACGCUGGCGGCGUGCUUAACACAUGCAAGUCGAACGGAAGUAGUAAUACUUCAGUGGCGCACGGGUGAGGAACACGUAGCUCAUCUGCCCAGAAGUGCGGGAUAACGGUCCGAAAGGAUUGCUAAUACCGCAUAAGCUCACGGACUGUAGAGGUGUGUGAGAAAAGGCUUCGGUCGCUUUUGGAGGAGGCUGCGGCCCAUCAGGUAGUUGGUGCGGUAACGGCGCACCAAGCCGACGACGGGUAGGGGACCUGAGAGGGUGACCCCCCACACU